UUAUGUGUAGAUUGCUGAGGGAAAAAAAUAUUUAAUCCAUUUUAAAAUAAGGCUGUAACGUAACCAAAUGUAGGGGAAAAAAAUCAAUGGGUCUGAAUACUUUCCGAAUGCACUGUAUCAUUUGCGUCCACAUCUAAUGCUAUUAAAUGAAGGGUAUGACCAAUGUUUUCCAUACCUAAUGCACUCUCUUUCUUCCCACCUGCUCUUCCUCUGAAUACAUAUACUGCCUUCACUUUCACUGACAGUGUUCCCAUGCAGAGGAUGGUGGUGGGAGGAGCUAUAGGAAGACAAUAUCAUUCUAAUGGCUGGAAUGGAAUAAUUGGAACGGAGUCAAACGUGGUUUUCAUAUGUUUGAUGCUGUUCCAUUUAUUCCAUUCCAGCCAUUAAAAUGAGCCCAUCCUCCUAUAGCUCUUCCCACCAGCCUCCUCUGUUCCCAUGAUAUUCCUCUUCUGUUUCCCCUAUCCGCCUAACCCCAAACUCCUCAAAAUGGCCGGAAAGAUAUUGUUGUGAUAUUAUUUUUGUAUUUAUAGUGAAUUUAGAUAGCACCGGAAAUGGUAUACUGCAGUAGUCCCAAUGCAUACAUCCCCUCAGUUUGGUAUCAUUAUAAUCAGCUGCAGUAUUUUGAUAACGAACAAUUAUCAUCUUUAUGCGUUCUUUUAUAACUGCUCUAAGUCGUAUUCCCAUUAUGUGGACACAGCUCACUAGGUUUUAGAUCUUGUUCUCGGGGGCUUCACUAAUAGCAGGGACUGUUACUGUUCAAGUUCUAUAUAAAUGGCCUUAAAAUAAUUAAGCCUGUUCAGAAAAGUUAUUUUGUCCAGAUUUAAUUGUGAAAUCAGGUUGAAAAGGAAAUGGACAAGUUGGAAAAUGUAAAAGUAACACGUUUGAAUAUGUUUGACUUUUUUGGAGAAAGCUCUUUAGGGAAACAAAAACGUUCAUUGUAAACAUUGUUCUUAAAGCAGUAACCAAUUUCUUUCUUUGUUUUAGCACAUAGACAAAGUUGCAUGUAAAUCCUAGGAACUAAUAGUUUUUUAUCUGUCAGUCUUGUAUCGUCAUUAUGGACUGGCCAAGACACACUCUUUAAAAAAAUGGUUCUGGAUACAACCAAAAAGGGUACUAUGCUUGCUUCCAAUAUGGCACCCCUUAAUGUUCUAUAUAGAACUGAAAUUGGUUACCUAUAUGGAACCCAUUUUGGUUCAGUGAAGAACCCCAUAUAUAUGGAGUGCCAUAUACAGUAUGAAGCAAGAAAUAGAACCCUUUUUCGGUUCUAUCCAGAACCUUUUUUUCUAAGAGUGCAUGGUAGUCAUUCCAAAAAAAUGCCUGGGUCUCAUUGCAGAUGCAUCUCUAUAGAAGUUAGAUGUCUCCGUAAUAGUUGAAGCCUUUCCCAUAUUGGAACAAGCAAGUGGAGACAUCAGUGUUCUAUGCUCUUUUACCGUAUUCCCUACUGCCCCCUGGUUAUAACCUCUACUGAAGGUUCUUCAGCCGCCUGUGACAGCUAUGCUCUUUGAAGAACUUGAAGGGGCACACUUUGCUAAACUACUCCGUAUAACUUAUGUCAAUGAUUUGUAAGUCUUCAUUGAAACACAAAUUGUUGUAAUGUGUUGUUCUCAAAACCCAAUAAACAGCCAAACAUAGGAGAAUUUA